rnacentral:lncRNA from 1 species
CGCAUUUCACGACCAUGCGUGUCUCAUCAAGAAGACGGAUUUUCGUGGGUGGUUCCGUGAAAUAAUGUUCAGGAAUUUAGGUCAGACAGCUGAAGGCGAUCGAGAACGUGUCCCCAUGUGGAAGAGUGUGGAGCCGGGGCACGGAGUGCCAGGCAGGAGCCCUCACAGCAUCCGGAGGGUCAGAGGCAGCCUGAGGGCGUGGUCGUUUUCCAAAGACUGCCAAUGGAUGGCGGGCGGACGGUUUCAGGAGGCUGCACCGUAAGAGACUCUGCUGUGGGACGUGGGCCUGGACAAUUCAUUGGAUUUUGGUGACU